rnacentral:rRNA from 1 species
AUACGGAGGGUGCAAGCGUUAUCCGGAAUCAUUGGGUUUAAAGGGUCCGUAGGCGGGCUAUUAAGUCAGAGGUGAAAUCCCACAGCUUAACUGUGGAACUGCCUUUGAUACUGGUAGUCUUGAGUUAUAUGGAAGUAGAUAGAAUGUGUAGUGUAGCGGUGAAAUGCAUAGAUAUUACACAGAAUACCGAUUGCGAAGGCAGUCUACUACGUAUAUACUGACGCUAAGGGACGAAAGCGUGGGGAGCGAACAGGAUUAGAAACCCCAGUAGUCC